GGGCGGUUAGCUCAGUUGGUUAGAGCGUCUGCUUUACACGCAGAAAGUCGGGGGUUCGAGUCCCUCACCGCCCA
rnacentral:tRNA from 2 species